AGUGAACGCUGGCGGCGUGCUUAACACAUGCAAGUCGAACGAGAACGGAUUAUAGCUUGCUAUAAUUGUCAGCUAAGUGGCGCACGGGUGAGUAAUGUAUAGGUAAUAUGCCUCUUACUAAGGGAUAACAAAUGGAAACGUUUGCUAAUACCUUAUACUCCUUAUUAACAUAAGUUAAUAAGGGAAAGAUUUAUUGGUAAGAGAUUAGCCUGUAUUGUAUCAGUUAGUUGGUGGGGUAAUGGCUUACCAAGACUAUGACACAUAACUGGUUUGAGAGGAUGAUCAGUCACACUGGAACUGAGACACGGUCCAGACUCCUACGGGAGGCAGCAGUGGGGAAUAUUGCACAAUGGACGAAAGUCUGAUGCAGCAACGCCGCGUGGAGGAUGACACAUUUCGGUGCGUAAACUCCUUUUAUAUGAGAAGAUAAUGACGGUAUUAUAUGAAUAAGCACUGGCUCACUCCGUGCCAGCAGCCGCGGUAA
rnacentral:rRNA from 1 species